rnacentral:misc_RNA from 1 species
UCGAGUCCCUUUUUGGAAGAUUGAGAAGAUAUAGCCAUGCCCAUUUAGAACAAGGCAGUUGUGCUGUGUGCACUUUGACUUUUCGGAUGGGUUUCCUCUGCUGCAUUCACCCUGCUUUCUUUGAAGAAAGAAGGAGAGGGGAAAUACGAGAACGGCCCGAUUUGGGCCAAGGACAGCUGCUGUUGGAGUGCAUCGCCUUAAUUUGGUUGUACUGUGUGCUACUCUACAAGCGGGAGCAUAUGAAUGACUCUCGGCAAUGGAUAUCUUGGCUCUCGUUUCGAUGAAGAACGUAGCGAAAUGCGACACUUGGUGUGAAUUGCAGAAUCCCGUGAACCAUCGAGUCUUUGAAUGCAAGUUGCGCUCGAGACCAUUAGGUCGAGGGCACGUCUGCUUGGGCGUCAUGCCUUGCGUCAUUCUAAACAUCAACCCACCUUAAAUAAAAUUGUGGGUAACGGUGGAUGUGGAGAUUGGCCCUCCGUGCUUUUGAUGUGCGGUUGGUUUAAGUGACGGUCGUCGCUAGGAUUGCACGCGGCGAAUGUUGAUCGAGUUCAUGCACGAAGUCUUCAGCUGCGUACAUGAGUCCUAACCAUGAUGUAUUAUAAUUGAAACCAUUAUCAAUGUUUGCACUAUUCGCAAGCAUGGACC